rnacentral:lncRNA from 1 species
UGAGACCCUCUUUGCCACAUUUUAUUCCUCUUUGUCCAUUGUAAGCCAUCAAAGGGGGAGUCGGUGUGUUUCGUAUGGGCUUCCCAAAGGAUGCAGAAAAGUAGGGCAGAGCAACGUAGAUCCAAACUUGGAGAACUUGAACAAACCCAUCUAUGGUAUAACAAUUGCUUGUCAAAUCUUUGAACUUCACAGAGUCCAUCAACCACUUAAAAGCCAAUCUCCCCAUGGGUAUGUCUCAAAUUCAUGUAAAUUCAACACUCUUGCAGGCAUCGCCCGUGUAGGUGAUAUACCUUGGAUUUGACCCAUUUUUAUCCAUGGUAUAUAAGUAUUUUACUAUAUAUAUAUAUAUAUCUAUGUUUUCUACUCUUCUAGGUAUGUUUUCAGGUUCUGGUGCAUUUCGGAGUAAAGCUAUGACUUUGGAGCAUUUUGGA